GUUUCUUUAUGCUGGCAUUUGGUCACACUUUGGUGGGAAAGGUCGCUUGUGUAGCUUGCAGGGCUAAUACUCUUACAUCAAACAUACCAGCAAGCUGAUCCUCCCGCUGUUGGGCCGGAAAGGAUUCUCUGGUUGCGGUGGAGUCAUCCAGCUCUGUUUGACGAUCUGCUGACCUGCAUCGGUUCCCAUUUUUCCUACCAAGACACCAAUUACAGGCGCUCAAUUUCAGCAGAAGGACAGCUGUCCAGCUGUUUGAGGUUAGUAGGUAUC